GCCAAAAUAGCUCAGGUGGAUGAGCGUCAGACUGAAGAUCUGAAGGUCCCUGGUUCUGUCCCGGGUUUCGGCA
rnacentral:tRNA from 1 species